CGAGACCUUUGCAGUAGGAAAGGAGAUCUAAAUUAGUUGUUUGAAUUCUUAUACAUGUAUCUUUGUAGAAUUAUUUGCUCGAAAAUCCAUGUAAUUAUGACUGUUACAUCUCCUGUACCUGCAUGGAUGUACCUACACGGCUUGUAGAUGUUACUGUUGUGAUCUGCAAGUGCAUUUUAAAUGUAGACAGAUUUUCGCUAUGUAGAUGGACUAAGUAAAGAGUGAUUCCCUUUUUGUUCUUGUGGUAGAUUCAUUCACUGAAUAUUGGUGGGAGGAAUAAUACUGAAUCUUGGUGUAGAAUUCAAUUUGGGAGCCUUUCCCAAGAUUUGUCAUGCAUGUGUUCUUGGGAUGAAUAAUACUGAAUUGUGGUACAUGGACUAAGUAACUACUCCAGCCCUAAAAGAGCCUGUAAUUUGCCAUGCAUGUGUUGUAGAAUUCUUUUUUCUCAAAAGCACAUGCACAUAUUCAUUUUCCAUCCAUGUGCUGUUGACAUAUCAUGAAAUGAGAAAUGUAUGCACUCUGCUGCAUUGAAUGUUUUACUUUAUCAUGUGUACUGAAAUUUGCAUAUACUUAUUUUAGGUGAGAGCAUUUACACCAUGCAUGAAGUUUAAGCAAAGUAUUUUACUGAGCAGGACUAGGACUGCAGGAGAAGAGGUCACGAUCUUAUCUUUCAUAUGACUUUCCACACAAUUGGUGCUAAUUUUCUUCUCUCUGUUUUUCAGUUGUUCUACUGGCUGACACAUCCAUCUAUUGGCGAUUAUUUGGCUAUCAGUUAGGAACUGUGAUAAAUGCUACAUCAGUGAUUUAUGCAUCUUCACAGUUUAAUAUGCGAGAAGCUUAAAUUGAGGAUCCCCACGAAUCGAUUUUGACUCAGGUAAGUUUACUAAAUUGUUCAUGUUUACCAUCUCAUUAGCUUUACAACAGUGCACAAUCAGGCUAGGGUAGCGGAAACCAUACCGAAGUCGUGUUGUGCUGACUUGGCGGUGAUGACACCGUGUCAUUUGUGAUGCAUGGGAUCAAGCCAAUCGGUGCGAAUUGGCGAGGCAGGGACUAUCAGGCCAUGGCAAUGGAUUCAACUUCGACCAUCUUCAUAACUUCCUGUACAUCAAAGUACAGAAUAGAUUAAUCAAAUGGAAGCAAACUAGAAACUAACUUAACAAUAUUAUCCUUUGGGCAGUGUGCAACUUUCACAGAUAAUAUGCUAUCAUUUUCUUACGUA